GGGCCCGUGGGGUAGCUAGGAUAUAUCCUUCUGGUCUUCGGAACCAGUGACCCGGGUUCAAAUCCCGGCGGGCCCG
rnacentral:tRNA from 2 species